rnacentral:rRNA from 1 species
UACAGAGGGUGCGAGCGUUAAUCGGAAUUACUGGGCGUAAAGCGUGCGUAGACGGUUAUUUAAGUCGGAUGUGAAAGCCCCGGGCUCAACCUGGGAAUUGCAUUCGAGACUGAAUAGCUAGGGUGCGGUAGAGGGAAGCGGAAUUUCCGGUGUAGCGGUGAAAUGCGUAGAUAUCGGAAGGAACAUCAGUGGCGAAAGCGGCUUCCUGGACCGCACCGACGUUCAGGCACGAAAGCGUGGGGAGCAAACAG